AAAUAGGUAAGCUAAUACUAAAGCUAUUGGGCUCAUAACCCAACAAUGGACUAUUCUCCUCUAUUUA
rnacentral:tRNA from 1 species